rnacentral:rRNA from 1 species
CACGUACUGUGCGAACGUUAUUCGGAAUCAUUGGGCUUAAAGGGUGCGUAGGCGGCAAUUCAAGUCAGGUGCGAAAUGCCUGAGCUCAACUGAGGCAUUGCGCUUGAAACUGAACUGCUUGAGUAUCCCAGGGGUGUGCGGAACUGCCAGUGGAGCGGUGAAAUGUGUUGAUAUUGGCAGGAACACCGGAGGCGAAAGCGGCACACUGGGGGAUAACUGACGCUGAGGCACGAAAGCCAGGGGAGCGAACGGG